rnacentral:rRNA from 1 species
GAAUUUAAUAUAAUUUUGUUAAAUUAAAUUAAUUGUAAAUUAUAAUAAAAAUAUAUAUUUAAUUGGGAGGAUUGUUAAAUAUAAUUAACUUUAAUUAGAUAAAAAUAUAAAUUAAUAAAUAAAAAGGAUGGUUAAUAAAUUAAAUAAGAAUUAAUUACCUUAGGGAUAACAGCGUAAUAUUUUUGGAGAGUUCUUAUCGAUAAAAAUGAUUGC